ACCAACGGGACUUACCAGGUGGUUGGUUUUGACGGCUCCUCCACGGUUGAUGAGUUCCUCCAGCGGCUGAACCAGGAGAUAGGCAUGAGAAAGCCAUCCCACUCUGGCUUUGCCCUCUUCACGGACGAUCCCUCGGGCAGGGACCUGGAGCACUGCCUGCAGGGAAGUGUCAAGGUGACAGCCUCCCACUAAGCCAGCUGAGCCCCUCCCUGCUCAGGGAUAUUGGUGGUAGGGAAAGAGCCCAUCUGAUGGGUGCCUGUUUGGUGCUGAGCCCAAGGUGCUGCCCCAGUCAGCAUUUCUGUACCAUCCUAAAAUGUACCUGGGCAGGGAGAAAAAAGCUGUUGUGUGCCCUUGUCUCUGGAGACAAGAUCGCUACACACCUACUUCCCUCGAGUGGCUGUGCAGCACCCAGAAGAAAAGCCUCUUCUCGGCUUGGUGUAGGGACAGCGAGGCCCCACAAAGCCACUGCCUACACGUGCCCACUCAGAGGCUCACAGCUGUAUGCUUGGACCCCCUGGACGUCAUGUGGUACCCAGCACCUCACUUUUACCCUUUCUGCCAGGGCCUAUGCCAUGCUUAUAGGUUGAAC
rnacentral:sRNA from 1 species